AUUGAUUUAUUUCGAAGGCGUUGCCGAAUCAAGAAGCGGUCGAAAUAUUCAUGAGAAUCACAGGCGCUUCCGAGUCUCUCGCCCUGCGUUUUCAAAUUUCAACCACGACACGUACUUUUACUGAUUGUUGAUGAAAUUUUAGCAUUCGAAGUACUGAAUGAACACUUUCACAGUAACGAAUGAUUGAUCCGAGUUUCGCAUCUAAUUCUUGAUGAUCAGGCAAGGCCAUAUUGCAGGUGUACUUUGGACUUGAAGAUGGCUCGAUGAUGUUGAGAGAUCUCUGCCUCACCGGCAACCAAGAAGCCUUGUUUGUGGAGCUAAUAUGAUGCAGGUGCAGUCCAAUACUGCUUGGUUGCAACCAAUACCUUUUCUCUAUGAUGGGGUCCUUUCUCAUGGUCUGCGAUUCUGCAUUCCCAUUGCAUAGCCUCUGCGAUGUUCUUGACCUUCACCAACACAUCCACGUCGUCUCUGAGGAUCACGCUGCCCUGUGGCCGCAGAAUCCUGUCCAUCUCUAGCAGAAUAUCCUCCAUUUCACAUCUGCAACACAGGGACGAUGUUCAUGACCCACAGAGGAUCGUCAACAAGGGCAGCUGCAAAGCCACCCAAGAAUGAGUUCAUGUCAAGCAAAUUGCGGUACCUCCCAGGCUCAGCAAGCUGGUUGUCCAAGGCCUUAAGUUAGUCUCUCUGGCCAAUUGAGCAGCUGCCCACCAGCUGUUUCUUUUAUGUCAGACACUUCAGGAAGUGGCGUCAAGCAAGGCUCCAUUUUUGUGUACCUGCACUUAGACGACAAGUGUAAAAAUAAGACUAUGCCUUUUAGCUUUGAAUAUCUCUAGAAAAAGAAGAGUCGAGACAAAACAGUUUACGAACCAUGCAGUGUCGGGGUUCUGUCCCUGGCAAAAGUUGGGGAAUUUGAAG